UUUCCGGGUAGUCCGGGUCCGGAGCGUCCUGCUCUGGCUCCUCUAGUUGUGGGAAUCUAGACUGCGUCGAGGAAGGAGGCGGGCGAUAUGGUUUUAGUUGCCACACCUUAGGCCUGCCAGGGAGCACAAUUUCUAAGUUUCAUAGAUAUUUUCAAAGCGAUAUGAACUGUUCGCCACCUGCACCUUAAGUGGCCCCAGUGAUCCCUAGUGGGCGCUUGAAACUUUUGCUAGACGCUUUGGCAGUUCGUAAAGAAACCGGGUGCGCGGUAGCCAAGCCACAGCCUUGGAGAGCCCGAUUACUGUAUGAGAGAGCGGCUUUUCCCGAGAAAUUAGGUUAGGUUUAAAGGGAUGAGCCGCAACCUUUUUUGUCCUGUGUCUAUGUCUGUCCUGGGCUCAGCCUUUUUCCACCCGGCCUCACUGUAAGGCGGUCAGGAGCGGCUGGAGGCUGCAUCUGGCAGUCUAGCUUGUGCUCCGUCCAUCCCGCGCACUUUGCACCCACAGGCAAGGUGGUGAGGAGUAAGUUCAUUGCACCAAAAAGGCCCAUCUACACUGAAGAACUUUCAGGGGAAUUUUGACUCACAAAUUCAAUGACUUUACAUUAGGAUGAGAAAUAUUUCAGGGAGUGCACAAUUAAUGUUCGUGUCAAUUGUGAAACAAUUUUCGCAAAAAUUUUAUUCGCCUUGAAGCAGCUAGCAAAAUUAUUUGUAAAAUGAAGUCUCGGAAACUUUGUUCCAGACAUACUUUGCUAUUUAAUUAUAUGAGAAGUGCCCGAGUGUGUUGCUUUUCUAUUGUUCUGUAACAAAUUACUACAAAUUAAUGGUUUAAAAUAUCACCCAUUUGUUAUCGUACUCGUGUAGGUCCGGAGUUGGUGUGGUAUAGCCGAGUGCUCUGCUUAAGGGUCUCACACUGUUGAAGUAAAGGCGUCUGCAAGUGGAAUCUCAUUGAAGAUCUGGGUUUCUCUUCCAAGCCCCUGGCUGUUAGCAGAAUUAAUGUCCUUGUGUUUCUUAGUCUGAGGUUCUCCUUGUUUUGCUAGUUGUUGGCCAGAGGCUUUUGCCAAAUAGCUCUUCUAUAAGCUUUCUCAUACUUACAGUCUCUGACUUCAUGGAGAUCCCUUUUAAGGAUUCAUCUGUGUGUUUAAAUCAACCAACUUUUCACUCUUUCCACCAGGAACUUAGAGUCAGAAUUCUGGCAUAAGACUGGUAAAGCAUGAUGCCCAUCUUACUACGAAUAAAAAUUGUCUUUCUAAGGAAUUUUAUAUUAAUACUCAGCACUUCAGGAAAAUUUCAUGGAAGAGCCCAAGACAUUUUCAAAUUGGAGAACCGAUUGGAUGAAUGAGUUUGAAUUCCAGAAAAAGAAAUGGGAAUAACGAGUUAGCAUUCUUCAUGCCACUAAGGAAUCUUCCUUCCAAAUUAUGUGGAAGGAAAAGAUAUUUCUGGAAUUGGAUUUACUAUACUGAGGCUUUCUCACAUAUGGUUGUUUCUUACCACUGGUACAUCUUAUACUAAACUUAGCUACAAAAAAGCACAUGUCACUGUGGUCCCAAUUAUAUGCUAUCCAUGAAUGGUGUUGUGUAAGGGCUCACAUUUUGAGGAACAUUUCUAAAGAUUUCCUGAGGCCUCUGAAGAGAUCUGAACAUCUACAACCACCAAAAAUGGGCUGAUAUAUUUUGGAGAUUACAGCACGGUAGUGAACAGCUUUGGGUAUUGAAAGAUGGAGUUCGACUACCAGCUCUGUCAUUUACCAGCUUAGUGGC